rnacentral:sRNA from 1 species
CGACGAAGGACGUGGCGACCGACGAUACACUCCGGGGAGCUGGAAGCAAGCAUUGAGCCGGAGAUGUCCGAAUGGGGCAACCCCUAGUACAGCCUGUUGAAUCUAUAGACAGGCAUGAGCCAACCCAGCGAACUGAAACAUCUUAGUAGCUGGAGGAAGAGAAAUCAAAAGAGAUUCCCUUAGUAGCGGCGAGCGAAGCGGGAAGAGCCUAAACCAGUUGUUUUAACAGCUGGGGUUGUGGGACAGCAAUAUGGAAUCGGAAAACUAGACGAAGUAGCUGAGAACUGCACCCGAGAAGGUGAAAGUCCUGUAGUCGAAAGUGGCACGAUACUAGCUGUAUCCCGAGUAGCAUGGGGCAGGUGAAAUCCCAUGUGAAUCCGCGAGAACCAUCUCGUAAG